AUUGAACGCUGGCGGUAUGCCUAACACAUGCAAGUCGAGCGAGUUGUAGCAAUACAGCUAGCGGCGGACGGGUGAGGAAUACAUAGGAAUUUGCCUUUAGGUGGGGGAUAGCCCAGGGAAACUUGGAGUAAUACCGCAUGAUCUCGUGAGAGCAAAGCCGGGGACCGCAAGGCCUGGCGCCUUUAGAGAAGCCUAUGUCGGAUUAGCUAGUUGGUGAGGUAAUGGCUCACCAAGGCGACGAUCCGUAACUGGUCUGAGAGGACGAUCAGUCACACUGGAACUGAGACACGGUCCAGACUCCUACGGGAGGCAGCAGUGGGGAAUAUUGGACAAUGGGCGAAAGCCUGAUCCAGCAAUACCGCGUGUGUGAAGAAGGCCCUCGGGUUGUAAAGCUCUUUUGUCCGGAAGAAAAGCAAUCGGUUAAUACCCGGUUGUUCUGACGGUACCGGAAGAAUAAGCACCGGCUAACUUCGUGCCAGCAGCCGCGGUAA
rnacentral:rRNA from 1 species